AUUGAACGCUGGCGGCGUGCCUAACACAUGCAAGUCGAGCGGUAACAGGUGUAGCAAUACAUGCUGACGAGCGGCGGACGGGUGAGUAACGCUUGGGAAUCUGCCUAUUAGUGGGGGACAACCCGGGGAAACUCGGGCUAAUACCGCAUACGCUCUACGGAGGAAAGCCGGGGACCGCAAGGCCUGGCGCUAAUAGAUGAGCCCAAGUCGGAUUAGCUAGUUGGUAGGGUAAUGGCCUACCAAGGCGACGAUCCGUAACUGGUCUGAGAGGACGACCAGUCACACCGGAACUGAGACACGGUCCGGACUCCUACGGGAGGGCAGCAGUGGGGAAUAUUGGACAAUGGGCGAAAGCCUGAUCCAGCGACGCCGCGUGGGUGAAGAAGGCCUGCGGGUUGUAAAGCCCUUUCAGUGGGGAAGAAAAGCCUCGACCUAACACGUCGGGGUCUUGACGUACCCAUAGAAGAAGCACCGGCUAACUCUGUGCCAGCAGCC
rnacentral:rRNA from 1 species